rnacentral:rRNA from 1 species
CAAUAGCGUAUAUUAAAGUUGUUGCAGUUAAAAAGCUCGUAGUUGGAUUUCUGAUGAGAGUACGGGUCGGCCUUAACGGGUUGCACUGUUGUUACGUCUCGUCGUUUCGAGGGGAAUGGGUUCGCUAUUAGGUUAGUGGGCUCGGGAACCUUGUCGUUUACUGUGAAAAAAUUAGAGUGUUCAAAGCAGGCCUUUGCUGUGAAUACAUUAGCAUGGAAUAAUAAGAUAGGACUGUAGUGCUAUUUUAUUGGUUUGCGUACUAUGGUAAUGAUUAAUAGGGAUAGUUGGGGGUAUUCAUAUUCAAUUGUCAGAGGUGAAAUUCUUGGAUUUAUGGAAGAUGAACUACUGCGAAAGCAUUUACCAAGGAUGUUUUCAUUAA